CAGUCGCCACGGUAAUACGGAGGAUCCAAGCGUUAUCCGGAAUUAUUGGGUUUAAAGGGUCCGUAGGCGGUCUUGUAAGUCAGUGGUGAAAGCCCAUCGCUCAACGGUGGAACGGCCAUUGAUACUGCAGGACUUGAAUUAUUGGGAAGUAACUAGAAUAUGUAGUGUAGCGGUGAAAUGCUUAGAGAUUACAUGGAAUACCAAUUGCGAAGGCAGGUUACUACCAAUUGAUUGACGCUGAUGGACGAAAGCGUGGGUAGCGAACAGGAUUAGAUACCCCGGUAGUCCCUGUCUCUUAUAC
rnacentral:rRNA from 1 species